rnacentral:rRNA from 1 species
UACGUAGGGUGCGAGCGUUAAUCGGAAUUACUGGGCGUAAAGGGCUCGUAGGUGGCCAACUAAGUCGGACGUGAAAUCCCUCGGCUUAACCGGGGAACUGCGUCUGAUACUGGAUGGCUUGAGUUCGGGAGAGGGAUGCGGAAUUCCAGGUGUAGCGGUGAAAUGCGUAGAUAUCUGGAGGAACACCGGUGGCGAAGGCGGCAUCCUGGACCGGUAUUGACGCUGAGGCGCGAAAGCCAGGGGAGCAAACGGG